rnacentral:rRNA from 1 species
UACCAUGGUGGUAACGGGUAACGGGGUGUUAGGGCACGACACCGGAGAGGGAGCCUGAGAAACGGCUACCACAUCCAAGGAUGGCAGCAGGCGCGCAAAUUACCCAAUCCCGACACGGGGAGGUAGUGACAAUAAAUAACAAUACGGGGUUCUUUAGGAUCUCGUAAUUGGAAUGAGUACAAUUUAAAUCUCUUAACGAGGAACAAUUGGAGGGCAAGUCUGGUGCCAGCAGCCGCGGUAAUUCCAGCUCCAAUAGCGUAUAUUAAAGUUGUUGCAGUUAAAAAGCUCGUAGUUGAAUUUCGGGGUCAGUAGGUCGGUCGUGCCACUGGUAUGAACUGGUUUUACUGAUUCCUCCCUCUUGAAGAACUGUAAUGCCAUUAAUUUGGUGUUGCAGGGAAUCAGGACUGUUACUUUGAAAAAAUUAGAGUGUUUAAAGCGGGCUUUAGCUUGAAUACAUUAGCAUGGAAUAAUGAAAUAGGACGUUUGAUCCUAUUUUGUUGGUUUCUAGGAUUGACGUAAUGAUUAAUAGGGAUAGUUGGGGGCAUUAGUAUUCAAUUGUCAGAGGUGAAAUUCUUGGAUUUAUUGAAGACUAACUACUGCGAAAGCGUUUGCCAAGGAUGUUUUCAUUAAUCAAGAACGAAAGUUAGGGGAUCGAAGACGAUCAGAUACCGUCGUAGUCUUAACCAUAAACUAUGCCGACUAGGGAUCGGAUGAUGUUAAUUUUUUAAUGACUCAUUCGGCGCCUUACGGGAAACCAAAGUGUUU